rnacentral:lncRNA from 1 species
AGUACACACCAGGAUUCUGCGUGUCAUUGUCCUCUGUCCGCCAAAAAUCAUUUUUGACACAUGACACAAGCUUUCUCUAAAACACCUUGGGGGGAAGUAUACUUCAGAUAUGGCUUCUGGGGUAAAAUAAAUCCUAGGCCAGAGAAACCAGCUUCCUCUCAAGACCCCUUACCUGUUAGAAACCAGAGACACAGCAAGAAUUUUUUUUACACCAAAGGAUGCCAUUGUCUAUGAACAUGUGGUUGUCAGUGCUCUGAUUACCUUCUAAUUGCUUUCAGCAAAACACAGAGCAGUCAUAUACAACAAAGUGACCAGCAUGGUCCCCUCAAAGCUCCCUAGCAUGUUUGUUACUAUAAAGUGUGUGAGUGUGAGAAUGGACUUUGCCAAAUACAUUUUUCUGCUUUUGAAUUGGCCAAAAGGUUUCAGCAUAUUUAUUCUACAAACAUUGCGCACACACCUCUGAAAUAUAUGCCAAUAAUUGAUGUCCUUUACCUCAGGGAGAGUUAGUUCAAGUCUACACAAGGGAAAUUAGUGGCCCCCCUAAGUAGAUCCAAACAAUUGUGCCCCAUCAUGGAUAGGACUGGCUGGAAUGCUUUGGAGAGAAAGUCAGAGCAAAAAAGAGAACUGGAGCCUCUUCUCCAUGGACUGCAAAUGGUCAAAGAAUGGUAGGCAACUAUGCUUUCUUUUCCCAUGGCCCUGAUGGGCCCCUAUCUUCCCUACACAGCUGUGUCUUCAUUUAUAAAAUGGGGGUGACGCUUUCAUAGUGGCUUUACCCCUUCCUACCUCACAGAUGUGUUGUGAGGAUUAAUGAAAUUGUGUAUACAGUGUUUUCAGUUUCUGGAGAAAAACUAUUUAUGGACAUUUCGAGUAUUAUAUAGAUAUAUAAGUGAUCUCAGUUUCUUACUCACUGUUAUACUGGUGUGCUGUUUUUACUUACUCUGUAAAACUACAGUUAAUGUCACGGCCACCUCAGAUGGCUAUCAGAGCUCUGAAACUUCCCUCCCGCACACCUGACUGAUGUUGAGUUAGCUGUUUUGGGGACCACAGAGGAUGUCUCCCUCCAGCUGAAAAGGUGGUCCAGGACACAGGUCUCACAAACCUGCAUCAGGAUCCAGGUUAGCAUGCCACACCUGGAUGCCUCAGCACUUCCAGAAGAAGGCCUCUGACUUUCACACCCCGAGGUCUCGGAGGAGUAGAUUAUGAUCUGAUGUCAUCUGCCCUUCGUCUUGCUUGCAAGGGUGCAUGGUUCGAUCCUAUGCAUCUUGAAAAUGAAUUUUGUGAUUGGUCCAGAUGCUAAUUUGCACGUCGAUUCACCUUCAUUGCCUUUAACCUUCUUUUGAGGGCAAAUGGAUGUACCAUUUCAACUUUGAUCUCAGAAGCGUUAGUUUGUAUUGACUCAUUGUCACGUUGCUCUCUUGGAGUAAAGUUAGCUGACAUCGUUUAAAGAUGGGAAGGUGUGCAACUUCUUUGAUAUUUGAUGACAUCAUAUCUACAUUUGUUGUAAGACAUAUUGCAUACCAAUUAUAACUAUGCCAAUUAAAGUGGUUAAAAGCUUG